GGAGCGAGCACGCCAGCGCGAGUAUGGAGGACGCCUCUUAACGUUUGCUGAAUAUGGCGGCGUCCAGAGUCCGUUAUAGAGAAAGAGUUUGUUUAUAUAAUGGAUUACCUUGGUGGAUUUUCAUAUAUUGAACCAUCCCUGCAUUCCUGGAAUGAAGCCUACUUGAUCAUGGUGGAUGAAGUUUUUGAUGUGUUCCUAGACUUGGUUUAACCUCCUGGUGUCAACAUGAGUUCCAGCAUGGAGGACCGUGACUGUGUGGUUUGCUGUGAAGUAAGGAAUGGCAAAGCAGCUGUCAUCCCAGGCACAGGCCACAAGAGCCCCCAUCACCAUCAGCAAAGUCUGGUCUCAAGAGGGAAGCCAAGCAUGUGUCACACAAAAUAGGUCACACUCAAGUUUCCAAAGUCCCCUGGCUGUGCUUGUUAUCAGUUUGUCCUACUGGUGACAGCCGAAGGCACAGCUCAGAUGUCUCAUCUGCAAAAUGGGACACCUGCCCUGCAUUAAGAGAAUCACCCCAAACGUCCCUCCCCAGGGUGCAGCUCACCUCCUGCAGAUCCCAGGCACGCACCGUACAGUCUGAAGACACAGUGCAAACCACGGACCUUGCCUUUUCAUCAAAGCGGUACUCGUGGGGUGAGACGUAGGCCAGCUGAUCUAUCGUUCCUGGAAGAGAGCACAGGCAGAGAUGGAUCUGACACACAUGUGUUCCUCUUUUCCCAUUAUAGCCACUCAGCUGGUGGGUGAGCACUCCCAAGAGCAGAGCCUACCGAGGCCCGUCUUGCCGUUUUAGACAAUUUAGAAAUGGAGAUAGCAACUUAUUCUUUCCCCCUAUGAUAUGAUAGACCUGCAUUCAUCAACUGGCAUCAGCUGGGAUGCCAAGUACCCCAAGACUUGAUCAGGAAGAGGGGGAUCGGUGGGAGUGGACAUGGCUCCUACACUCUCCAGCCCAUACCUGUGUGCCCAGAAAUAGCUUUGCAGAUGAAGUCCUGUGGCCGCCCAGAUUUCACACGGAACUCAAGCUCAGACCGGCAGAAAUAGUACUGCCUCCAAGUCUGCGUGCCCAGGACCACUGGGAGGGCCUUGCAGGGGGCCCAUCGCCUCAGACACAGCUGCCUGAAACACAAACGCACAAGCUUAGGCAGGACACAACAGUCAGUGAUUCCGAAACCAGAUCUAGCUUUGAAUUCUGGCCUCGAAACCAACUGUCCCUACCUAGGCCUCAACUUCCUGCUCUGUCGAACGGGGGCAGUGCUGAUGAUAAGUGAAUGGUGGCAGUGUGAACCAUGUGUACCUUUUAUAUGACAGGCUGCCCCUCACGGCAGCCCUAUGGAGGAGGCGCUCACCACCAUCCCACUCUUGGGGACACAGACGCUAAAGGACGGAUUCAUGUUGCCAACUAUGUCAAACUCCCCACUUGCCCUUGCUGUUCUGUUGGUCCUUCCUGAGUUUCCUUGCUGUUGCCAGGGGUCAGAGGGUCUCUUCAGAUCCACCUGUUUGUCAUUAUGACACUUCUUUACACGCCUGACCCCAAACUCUAUUCAGUGCUGGCAUUCAGCUGCUUUCAAUACUGUCUGCGUAUGCCUCUUCCAAAACCCAGCGUUCAGCACAUUACGUCUUUUAAGCCAAAGUCUGCCUCAGGAGUGCUUGCCGAGCAAGCACAGCCUUUGAUCUCCAACUCUCGUAACAAAAAGAAGAAAAAGGAAGACUUAAGUGUAUCUCGUGUGUACAGCAUUAAGCCGGACCAUUUCUCUCUGCCAGUUCUGUGGCUCCUUCCAAGGGAAAGCCCUUGGGUUGUGUAAUCGUGUUUUUCAUUAUUUUAAUGCUCUCUUGGAUUAAGCCCCAAUACUUCAUUACUGCCAUGUUUUGUGUUAAGCACGGUCUAAUAUACUGUUUCAAUUUCUUGGUCAUUUCUUUGUAUUACUAGUUACUGUUCAGUGGUUGGCUUUAAGAUUAUAACUUGGAUUUUGAAAUACGAAGUUUUAUUUUUUGACUAGUACACAAUCAAUUUUCAGUAGUAAAACUUCUGUGCAUA